rnacentral:rRNA from 1 species
AGCAGUCGCCACGGUAAUACGAAGGGGGCUAGCGUUGUUCGGAAUUACUGGGCGUAAAGGGCGCGUAGGCGGCCAUUCAAGUUAGAUGUGAAAGCCCUGGGCUUAACCUGGGAACUGCAUUUGUGACUGGCGAGCUGGAGUAUGGCAGAAGGGGGUAGAAUUCCACGUGUAGCAGUGAAAUGCGUAGAGAUGUGGAGGAAUACCGAUGGCGAAGGCAGCCCCCUGGGCCAAUACUGACGCUCAUGCACGAAAGCGUGGGGAGCAACCAGGAUUAGAGACCCCAGUAGUCCCUGUCUCUUAUAC